rnacentral:piRNA from 1 species
AACACCUAGAAAGCAGAGGAAGGUAGAGG